AGGUGAUCCAACCGCAGGUUCCCCUACGGUUACCUUGUUACGACUUCACCCCAGUCAUGAAUCACAAAGUGGUAAGCGCCCUCCCGAAGGUUAAGCUACCUACUUCUUUUGCAACCCACUCCCAUGGUGUGACGGGCGGUGUGUACAAGGCCCGGGAACGUAUUCACCGUGGCAUUCUGAUCCACGAUUACUAGCGAUUCCGACUUCAUGGAGUCGAGUUGCAGACUCCAAUCCGGACUACGACGCACUUUAUGAGGUCCGCUUGCUCUCGCGAGGUCGCUUCUCUUUGUAUGCGCCAUUGUAGCACGUGUGUAGCCCUGGUCGUAAGGGCCAUGAUGACUUGACGUCAUCCCCACCUUCCUCCAGUUUAUCACUGGCAGUCUCCUUUGAGUUCCCGGCCGGACCGCUGGCAACAAAGGAUAAGGGUUGCGCUCGUUGCGGGACUUAACCCAACAUUUCACAACACGAGCUGACGACAGCCAUGCAGCACCUGUCUCACGGUUCCCGAAGGCACAUUCUCAUCUCUGAAAACUUCCGUGGAUGUCAAGACCAGGUAAGGUUCUUCGCGUUGCAUCGAAUUAAACCACAUGCUCCACCGCUUGUGCGGGCCCCCGUCAAUUCAUUUGAGUUUUAACCUUGCGGCCGUACUCCCCAGGCGGUCGACUUAACGCGUUAGCUCCGGAAGCCACGCCUCAAGGGCACAACCUCCAAGUCGACAUCGUUUACGGCGUGGACUACCAGGGUAUCUAAUCCUGUUUGCUCCCCACGCUUUCGCACCUGAGCGUCAGUCUUCGUCCAGGGGGCCGCCUUCGCCACCGGUAUUCCUCCAGAUCUCUACGCAUUUCACCGCUACACCUGGAAUUCUACCCCCCUCUACGAGACUCAAGCUUGCCAGUAUCAGAUGCAGUUCCCAGGUUGAGCCCGGGGAUUUCACAUCUGACUUAACAAACCGCCUGCGUGCGCUUUACGCCCAGUAAUUCCGAUUAACGCUUGCACCCUCCGUAUUACCGCGGCUGCUGGCACGGAGUUAGCCGGUGCUUCUUCUGCGGGUAACGUCAAUGAGCAAAGGUAUUAACUUUACUCCCUUCCUCCCCGCUGAAAGUACUUUACAACCCGAAGGCCUUCUUCAUACACGCGGCAUGGCUGCAUCAGGCUUGCGCCCAUUGUGCAAUAUUCCCCACUGCUGCCUCCCGUAGGAGUCUGGACCGUGUCUCAGUUCCAGUGUGGCUGGUCAUCCUCUCAGACCAGCUAGGGAUCGUCGCCUAGGUGAGCCGUUACCUCACCUACUAGCUAAUCCCAUCUGGGCACAUCCGAUGGCAAGAGGCCCGAAGGUCCCCCUCUUUGGUCUUGCGACGUUAUGCGGUAUUAGCUACCGUUUCCAGUAGUUAUCCCCCUCCAUCAGGCAGUUUCCCAGACAUUACUCACCCGUCCGCCACUCGUCAGCAAAGAAGCAAGCUUCUUCCUGUUACCGUUCGACUUGCAUGUGUUAGGCCUGCCGCCAGCGUUCAAUCUGAGCCAUGAUCAAACUCU
rnacentral:rRNA from 1 species